rnacentral:rRNA from 1 species
AGGAAUAAGAGGUUGCUAACUCUGUGCCAGCAGCAGCGGUAAUACAGAGACCUCGAGCGUUAUCCGGAUUUAUUGGGCGUAAAGCGCAGGUAGGCGGUAAUUCAGGUCGGCUGUGAAAGCCCCGGGCUCAACCCGGGAACUGCAGCCGAAACCGUUUCACUUGAGGGCGCAAGAGGCUGAUGGAACUCACGGUGGAGGGGUGAAAUCCGUUGAUAUCGUGGGGAACACCAAAGGCGAAGGCAUUCAGCUGGUGCGCUCCUGACGCUGAGCUGCGAAAGCGUGGGUCGCGAAUGGGAUUAGAUACCCCAGUAGUCCACGCCCUAAACGAUGGAUGCUAGCUGUGGGGAGUAUCGACCCUCUCCGUGGCGAAGCUAACGCGUUAAGCAUCCCGCCUGGGAAGUACGGCCGCAAGGCUAAAACUCAAAGGAAUAGACGGGGACUUGCACAAGUGGUGGAGCAUGUGGUUCAAUUCGACGAUAAGCGAAGAACCUUACCAGGGCUUGAAAUCCCGCCGUCCUAUCUUCUGGAAACAGAAGAAAUUCGCAAGAAGGGCGGGACAGGUGCUGCAUGGUUGUCGUCAGCUCGUGCCGUGAGGUGUUCGGUUCAGUCCGGUAACGAGCGCAACCCCUGUUGCGUGUUAUACGUGUCACGCGAAACUGCCCGAGACAAUCGGGAGGAAGGCGGGGACGACGUCAAAUCAGCAUGGCCCUUAUGCCCUGGGCGACACACGUGCUACAGUGGCCGGUACAAUGGGUUGCCAAAGAGCAAUCUGGAGCUAAUCCUAAAAACCGGCCUCGGUUCGGAUUGCGGGCUGCAACUCGCCCGCAUGAAGACGGAAUCACUAGUAAUCGCGCAUCAGCCAUGGCGCGGUGAAUACGUUCUCAAGUCUUGUACUCACAAUAAAAGCGCACAGCAGUAUAUUUUUCUAAGUGGUUGAAAUCCACUUCUCUUUUCCCGUUAAAGAGAUAGCCGAAGGAUAGCGCAUUUUCGCGAGAGAAUGCGUGAAGGAUCCGAA